rnacentral:rRNA from 1 species
CCUGGCUCAGGAUGAACGCUAGCUACAGGCUUAACACAUGCAAGUCGAGGGGCAGCAUUGGGAUAGCUUGCUAUCCAGAUGGCGACCGGCGCACGGGUGAGUAACGCGUAUCCAACCUUCCCUAUAGUAGAGAAUAGCCCGGCGAAAGUCGGAUUAAUGCUCUAUGUUGUGUUUUGAGGACAUCUGACGAACACCAAAGGUUCACCGCUAUAGGAUGGGGAUGCGUCUGAUUAGCUUGUUGGUGGGGUAACGGCCCACCAAGGCGACGAUCAGUAGGGGUUCUGAGAGGAAGGUCCCCCACAUUGGUACUGAGACACGGACCAAACUCCUACGGGAGGCAGCAGUGAGGAAUAUUGGUCAAUGGGCGAGAGCCUGAACCAGCCAAGUAGCGUGCAGGAACCGACUGCCCUAUGGGCUGUAAACUGCUUUUAUCAGGGAAUAAAGUGCGGCACGUGUGCCGUUUUGUAUGUACCUGAUGAAUAAGGACCGGCUAAUUCCGUGCCAGCCGCAGC